GGGCUCAACUGCACCUGCCUUGAUUUUCCUUUGAUCCUUAGGAGAGGGGAAAAGUGUUCUGGGUAGAGGGACAGCAAGUGCAAAUCCCCCAGGGGCUGAAGACCACUGUGCAUUUGGGCUUCAGGGGAAUGAGUGGCUUUGCUGCGGUGGUGGCGGCGGUCGCAGAGGCGACACCGCUGGAGGCUGACGAGGAGAACAGCCGGUCCCCCAUCGCUGCGGGCGGGUAAGGUAACAGCCACAAACAACCUUUCUCCAGUGCCCCUCGUGCCCCUCUGCUCUAGUCCAGCACAGCAGCUCUGCAAGCCCCAGGACACCUCCUGGAUGA